CAGUCGCCGCGGUAAUACAGAGGGUGCAAGCGUUAAUCGGAAUUACUGGGCGUAAAGCGUGCGCAGGCGGUUCGUUAAGACAGAUGUGAAAUCCCCGGGCUUAACCUGGGAACUGCAUUUGUGACUGACGGGCUAGAGUAUGGCAGAGGGGGGUAGAAUUCCACGUGUAGCAGUGAAAUGCGUAGAGAUGUGGAGGAAUACCGAUGGCGAAGGCAGCCCCCUGGGCCAAUACUGACGCUCAUGCACGAAAGCGUGGGGAGCAAACAGGAUUAGAUACCCGGGUAGUCCCUGUCUCUUAUAC
rnacentral:rRNA from 1 species